CAAGAACACUAGUCUCGAAAAACUCCUGCACAAGCUUCAACAGGUCAGUCUUAAUAGUUUCCCAUGACUGUUGAUAGAAAACACCAUGAAAGCCGUCUGGGCCUGGAGCCUUGAGAGCUCCCAGCUGGAAAACUGCUUCCUUUAUUUCUUCCCAUAGAGGAUGCAGUCGAAGAAUUAGGGGGCUGUGAUCUGAUCCGAUAGCAGGAAGGGCUUGUACUUCUGCUUCAUGAAAGAUCCAGGGAAUAGAAGCUGAAGGUUUAAAGGUUCCCAGUAGUUGCCAUAAUGCCAUCCUCUCUCCAAAAUCAGUGGAUGCGUGUACAAGG